GACGAACGCUGGCGGCGUGCUUAACACAUGCAAGUCGAACGGAAAGGCCUCAGCUUGCUGGGGUACUCGAGUGGCGAACGGGUGAGUAACACGUGGGUGAUCUGCCUUGCACUCUGGGAUAAGCUUGGGAAACUGGGUCUAAUACCGGAUAUGAACUGCCUUUAGUGUGGUGGUUGGAAAGUUUUUUCGGUGCAAGAUGAGCUCGCGGCCUAUCAGCUUGUUGGUGGGGUAAUGGCCUACCAAGGCGUCGACGGGUAGCCGGCCUGGGAGGGUGUACGGCCACAUUGGGACUGAGAUACGGCCCAGACUCCUACGGGAGGCAGCAGUGGGGAAUAUUGCACAAUGGGCGGAAGCCUGAUGCAGCGACGCCGCGUGGGGGAUGACGGCCUUCGGGUUGUAAACUCCUUUCGACAGGGACGAAGCUUUUUGUGACGGUACCUGUAGAAGAAGCACCGGCUAACUACGUG
rnacentral:rRNA from 1 species